ensembl:scaRNA
AAUCUGUAGUCUUGGAGCCGCACAGGGUUGGUGCUACCCUGGAGCACACCAGACUUGCAGAAAAAGCAUACCCCAGAGGAAGCUGAGGCAUGCCUGCUCAAGAACCAGCGGUUCCAUGUGCAAUUUUCCUCUGAUAGUUCCUAGAUACUGUUGCCACGGUGAUGAUGACUGUGCCAUGUCAUUAUCUAUUCACCAACAGUAAGAGAAGCUUGGCAGUCGAGAUAUUGUUUAGCAGAUGGAGUGGUUUCUGUUGGACACUUUAAGUACUGCUACAAAU